UACAGGGGGGGCAAGCGUUGUUCGGAAUUACUGGGCGUAAAGGGUUCGUAGGUGGCCACUUAAGUCAGACGUGAAAUCCCUCAGCUUAACUGGGGAACUGCGUCUGAUACUGAGUGGCUUGAGUGCAGGAGAGGAAUGCGGAAUUCCAGGUGUAGCGGUGAAAUGCGUAGAUAUCUGGAGGAACACCGGUGGCGAAGGCGGCAUCCUGGACCAACACUGACGCUGAGGAGCGAAAGCCAGGGGAGCAAACGGG
rnacentral:rRNA from 1 species